CAGCAUCCGCGGGAAUACGUAGGGUGCAAGCGUUAAUCGGAAUUACUGGGCGUAAAGCGUGCGCAGGCGGUUAUAUAAGACAGAUGUGAAAUCCCCGGGCUCAACCUGGGAACUGCAUUUGUGACUGUAUAGCUAGAGUACGGCAGAGGGGGAUGGAAUUCCGCGUGUAGCAGUGAAAUGCGUAGAUAUGCGGAGGAACACCGAUGGCGAAGGCAAUCCCCUGGGCCUGUACUGACGCUCAUGCACGAAAGCGUGGGGAGCAAACAGGAUUAGAUACCCCUGUAGUCCCUGUCUCUUAUAC
rnacentral:rRNA from 1 species